rnacentral:lncRNA from 1 species
UUGUCUUUCAAUAGGGAAGGGGACAACUGGAGACAGCUCAGUGUACCCAGGGACUUGCUGGCUAGAGACACUGAUGCUGUAGAACGGAUGCUUUGCUUGUGCCAUCUGCCCCCAUCUACCAGUCCUGGGCACCCUGGCCAGGCUGACAGCCAGGCAAGAAUCAUCAGCCCAGUCUCAAGCUCGUCUAUGGCAAAAAGCAGUCAGGCAAGGGAGCAGAGCAAAAUCCAAGACGUGAACAACCACUAUAACAGUUGCUGAGGGAGGAAGCACAGACCCUGCUCCCUCCAGAGGUCCAACUCCAGAGUGCAAAGGUCAGUAGGAAACCUUAGCCUAGGGAGAGAUUAGAGGCCCUUGACCUCUGUACCCAUGAACCCCACAAAACGAUGAGUCCUGAACCCUGACCUGACCUGAACCAUUACCUUACCCUGCAAAGCUCUGGAUGGGCCCCAGACGGAUGAGGUCGAUGGAUAAAAGAUGAAGAUGUUGAGUUUGACUCUGAUGAGAAGGAACCCCCUGCUCUCCCCAUGG